rnacentral:lncRNA from 1 species
GCGAGAGCAGAGACCGCAGCUAUGGCGUCGUUACUUUGGGGAGGCGACGCUGGGGCGGCGGAGAGCGAGCGGCUGAACAGCCACGUAACUGCCGCUGAGCAGGGGAGGGCCCAGGGGCGGGGGCUAGAACAGGGACUCCCGAGGGAAAUCCCCUGGGAAGGGGAGCGCCCCGCUGGCAUUUGGAGCGGGGUGUCAAGUGAUGGGGGGCUGGGGUGGAAGAGCCAUAGAAGAGGAGACUCCCAAAAAGGACCAACCUUUGAUUUGAAAGGGCAGAGACCCCUGGAAAUCCUGAGAGAAUGCGCAGCUGCUAGUCCUGGCUGGAAUGAGUUUUCUCCUAUCCUGAUUUUUGACCAUUUAGCAGGCUUCUCAUCUUCAUAGCCUCCUAUCCCUUUUAGGUGUUGUAAACCACCCAUCACCCAGAUAUUGCCCAUAUUCAGACUAAGAGCUCUUAAAAAGAGAGACUAUGAUAACUCCCAUCCAAUUAUAUGAUAAUUCAUAAAAUUACAAGGAUACCUAAAAUGAAAUCAUUAAUCCCUAACAUUGCAAAGGAAGCAGUUUGGGGUGGUCUUCCCGGCCCCUGGUGUAGGAUAGCACCAUGCUUCUUGCUUGAUGUCCUGCUUCCUAACCUUGGUUGAAAUUUGUGCCUUUCAAUAGUUUUCAAAUCUCGUCCACCCCAGGAAGAACCUUCGUGGUAUUAGGAGUACCACAGUCCCAAACAUAGACGGCUCUCUUAACACGGAAGAAGAUGAUGACGA